rnacentral:tRNA from 1 species
GUCACUGUAGCUCAGUUGGUAGAGCAUGGUGUUUGCAACACCAGGGUUGUGGGUUCAAUUCCCACGGGGGGCC